AGUCGAGCGAGCUUGCCUAGAUGAUUUUAGUGCUUGCACUAAAUGAAACUAGAUACAAGCGAGCGGCGGACGGGUGAGUAACACGUGGGUAACCUGCCCAAGAGACUGGGAUAACACCUGGAAACAGAUGCUAAUACCGGAUAACAACACUAGACGCAUGUCUAGAGUUUGAAAGAUGGUUCUGCUAUCACUCUUGGAUGGACCUGCGGUGCAUUAGCUAGUUGGUAAGGUAAUGGCUUACCAAGGCGAUGAUGCAUAGCCGAGUUGAGAGACUGAUCGGCCACAUUGGGACUGAGACACGGCCCAAACUCCUACGGGAGGCAGCAGUAGGGAAUCUUCCACAAUGGACGAAAGUCUGAUGGAGCAACGCCGCGUGAGUGAAGAAGGGUUUCGGCUCGUAAAGCUCUGUUG
rnacentral:rRNA from 1 species